rnacentral:misc_RNA from 1 species
GAUGAAGAACGCAGCGAAAUGCGAUAAGUAAUGCGAAUUGCAGAAUUCCAGUGAGUCAUCGAAUCUUUGAACGCACAUUGCGCCCCCUGGUAUUCCGGGGGGCAUGCCUGUUCGAGCGUCAUUUCACCACUCAAGCCUCGCUUGGUAUUGGGCAACGCGGUCCGCCGCGUGCCUCAAAUCGACCGGCUGGGUCUUCUGUCCCCUAAGCGUUGUGGAAACUUUCGCUAAAGGGUGUUCGGGAGGCUACGCCGUAAAACAACCCCAUUUCUAAGGUUGACCUCGGAUCAGGUAGGGAUACCCGCUGAACUUAAGCAUAUCAAUAAGCGGAGGA